AGCAAACAUGAUUAUUCUACAUCCGAACUAAAUAGUAAAAUGCACCAACCCAGCAAUAUGCACACUUUGCAUACUGUACGUAAUGAAAAUAAAAAUGAUUUGCACAUACUUAAUAGUAAAGGUAAUAAUGAAAGUGAUCUUUUCAGUAAUAACAACAAAGGAAGUACAAGUAGCAAAAACAACGCAAUUAGCACUAAUAGCAAAAACGACACAAGCAGUACAAGUGACAAAAACAACGCAAUUAGUACUAGUAGCAAAACCAAAGCAAUUAAUACUAGUAACAAAACCAAAGCAAUUAAUACUAGUAGCAAAACCAAAGCAAUUAAUACUAGUAGCAAAACCAAAGCAAUUAGUACUAGUAGCAAAACCAAAGCAAUUAAUACUAGUAGCAAAACCAAAGCAAUUAAUACUAGUGGUAAAGAUAAUGCAGUCAAAACUAGUAACAAAAACAACGCAAUCAGCACUAGUAGUAAAAACAGUAUAAAUAGUGUUAUACAAACCCUUAAAAAACAUACUAAUACUAUUGCAGGUUAUGAAAAAGGAAACUCUAAUACUUCAACACGUAAACUGUACAAGAAAGAAAAAUUACGUACUUACAAUAACUUGCCAAAUGAUAUAAAAAAAUGUUUAAAAAAAGACAACUUAGAAUGUAACAAUAAUGAUGACGAUUGUGAAGAAUCUGAAUCUGAAUCUGAAUCCGAAUCAGAAGCAGAAUCAGAAACAGAAACAGAAUCAGAAACAGAAUGUUUAUCACAUUUGUUGUCUAUUAUGAAAACUAAUGUAAAAAAGUACAAUAAUAAAAUAGUAACAAAUAAAGACAACAUUAAAAAAAAAAUGAAUAGAGCUAUACGAAUCGAAUUUAUACAUAUACUUCUGAAGAAUGAAAUAGAAUCGAACGAAAGGGAUAGCUACAAACAUGUAAAACAUAUGAAUACUAAUCAAGAAGAAAUAAAAAAUGAUAAAAGUAUAAAUGAAGAUACGAAAAACGAUAGAAAACAUGUGAAUAUGCGUCCACAUAAAAUUAAUGCAAUAAAUAAUACAACUGUUGAGAAUAUAGAUAAAAAUGUAAUUAAAAAAGAAAAUGAUCAAUACAAUAAUGAUAAACAAGCUACUGAUAAAAAUAAUGUUAAAGAUGCAAAAACUAAUUAUAACAAUUAUGUUAAUAGAAAAAGCAGAUUAAACGAAUCAAAAGUUAUAAAUAACACAACAAAAAGUGAACAUAAGUAUGACCAUAAUAACAUAAUAAAUAUGAAUAUACAAGACCACUUAGAUAUAUUGAAUAAUAAAAAAUAUAACAGUAUGGUAUUAUGUUCAAAUUUAAGAAGAGCUAUGACCACUUGUCUAAUCUCUUUUAAUAACAGACUAAAUGAAAAUAGUGAAACGGUGCAUAUAUUUAAUUCAUUACGGGAAGUUAAAAAAAAUAUUGAUUCAAUUACUAUCCGUAAAACUGAAAAACGAAUUAAAUCUUUAAACAUAGACCAAUAUAUUGAUAGAGAUAUAGGUGAUAUGAAUAAUCUAUUUGAAUUGCAUGAACAAAAAAGUAAAAAAAAUAAAUUCAAAUAUAUACUUUCCUAUAUUUUUAACAAUGAAAAUGAUAUUUUUAUUAUAUUUGGUCAUAGUGUAUGGUUUCAAGCGUUCUUUAAACAUUUUUUACCAUCUCCACAUAUAGCUAAAAAAGUAAAAAUGAAAAACACAAGUGUCAUUGUUUUUAACAUUGAUAAGUAUAUUAAAGAUAAUAAAGACGUGUAUGAAAUAGAUAAAGACACGAUUAGAGUUAUAUAUAAUGGGUCUGAAGAGCAUCAGAAUGAGUUAGAGAAAACGGCUAACAAACGUAGUCAUAAAAGGAGGCUGGCAGAAGUCACAGCCAGAAGGAACAGACGAAGGGGGUUGGCAGGAGAAAGAGACAGAAGAAAGAGACGAAGGGGGCUGACAGAAGAAAGAGACAGAAGGGAGAGACAGAAGGGAGAGACAGAAGGGACAAACAGGAGGGACAAACAGAAGGGAUAGACGAACGGGACUGACACAAAAUUCCAUUUUCUUACAUUAUUAUUAUGUGGACUCAUAAAACUUCACAGUAAUUAUAAAAUACAUUUUAAACACUUUCAAAAGUGAAAUUAUAAGGUUAAACAAUUGAAAAAUAUAAGCCUAUACAUAUGUAUACAUCCAUCCAUAUGCAUAAAUAUAUUAUAAACCUUAAAAAACAAAUGACAGACUGAAUAAAUAAAUAUAAUAGCUAAUAAACA
ensembl:lncRNA